UGGGGAAUUUUGGACAAUGGGCGCAAGCCUGAUCCAGCCAUGCCGCGUGCGGGAAGAAGGCCUUCGGGUUGUAAACCGCCUUUGUCAGGGAAGAAACGCUCUGGGCUAAUACCCUGGGGUAAUGACGGUACUUGAAGAAUAAGCACCGGCUAACUACGUGCCAGCAGCCGCGGUAAUACGUAGGGUGCAAGCGUUAAUCGGAAUUACUGGGCGUAAAGCGUGCGCAGGCGGUUAUGCAAGACAGAUGUGAAAUCCCCGGGCUCAACCUGGGAACUGCAUUUGUGACUGUAUAGCUAGAGUACGGUAGAGGGGGAUGGAAUUCCGCGUGUAGCAGUGAAAUGCGUAGAUAUGCGGAGGAACACCGAUGGCGAAGGCAAUCCCCUGGACCUGUACUGACGCUCAUGCACGAAAGCGUGGGGAGCAAACAGGAUUAGAUACCCCCAGUAGUCCCUGAGCGGGCUGGCAAGGCGCAU
rnacentral:rRNA from 1 species